AUCACUAUUUUUAAAUUUUAGAGUUUACAUUAUUAUGAAAAUGACAAUACUGCCGGAAAUUUUAAUUCCGCUACUGGACCAUCGCCGACUCCAUUCAUACUAGCGUAUACGGCCUUUCCAUAAGCCCUAAAAAUAUGUUUUUGAACAAUUUAUAAUCGUUCCUCAUGUGGCGCCACUAACGGUGAAUUUUUAAACCAAUUUUUUUUUAAAACGUCAAAAGUGGGUGUCAUGUCAAAUCUUAAUUCUCAAUUAAGAUAAUGUUAAACCAAAAGAAGCACGGAUCUCGGAAAAGAAUAAAGAAUUGGCACUGAAUUUGUGUUCUGUGGAAAAGAAGUUUAACACAUGUGAAACGGCUUGACGAAUUCAUUAUUUAUACUCUGGUUGCUCCAAAAACUUUGCCUAUGAGGAAAAUGACGAAAGUGGAGAUCGCAGGGAUUGCUGUGGGGCUGGAGUGUUAUUACGGUUGCAUCAGUGCUACGUGCUACAAUUGAAUAUUCCAUUUUAUACCCUGGUUCAUACCAUUCUCGAUUACUAACAGAAAAACGUCGC